UGGUCCGUACUACUGCCGUUUGAAUUUUGAUUCUGUGCAGUAUAUGUCGUUCGUUUCGGCUGCAUCUGCAUUGUUUGUCUACUUUUCAGCAAGGGCUUCGUCCAAUUCGUAUGGGACGACGGCGGCAUUAUUUCGUCUUUUAUUUGACCACAAUCACGAGCUUUCAUCCGUAUAUACUGCACACUGUAUAAUAACGCAGGUUAUAACCUGUACCUGUACAGUGCGGAAGGCGACGCUCGCGCGGCCACGGAUCGGGUUUCGGACACCACAGUGCUUUCAAUACGCCCUGUCAGGUACUGUGUGCAUCGCUCGAAAACAAUGGGGGAACGUACACCGUGCAGGAACGAUGAAAAAAAAGAGUAAAAAAAGAAAUUGAUCCACCUGCCGCGACGCGGAGCCACCUGUUAUUACGCUUUUCUUGCGGCGGUUGCGAGUUCCGACAACCGGUGGUACAGGAAAAUGUGACGGCGGCGCAUGAUAUAGGUUACGAUAUUUAUAACUGGUUAAUGAAAAUCCGACCGGUGUUAUGCACUUGCAGUUUCUUUUUCAACGCAAUUAAAUACAGGCUAGUCACGCCACCUGCUGCAAGAGGUAGACCUUCCAGAGCUGCAACAAAGAAAAAAAAAGAAGCGACGUCAGGACGGCUUUUGGUAAACACGUGUAGCAAGAGACACAUAUACAAAGCUUCGUUAGUGAUAAUCUGGUAUUCUAUAUAUACUAUGUUUCUACUAUGAGUACUUAAUAUAAUUUGGGUAAAAUAAUAAAAGUGGGUACUCGAUCAUUAAACGGUG